rnacentral:tRNA from 1 species
GGUGAGGUGUCCGAGUGGCUGAAGGAGCACGCCUGGAAAGUGUGUAUACGGUAACGUCGAAUCCCCUCACCGCCA